UUAUGGCUCAGCUAAGAAGCACAAUAUGAAAGACAAGAAGGUUAACGAUUCUUGACUUUCACAAUAGUAAGUUUUACUGAUGAUCACUGCAAUCUCUUAGAGAUUGCUAGCUUCCAUGUGCCAUCACACAUAAUAGUUUUGUUUUCCUUUUAAGGUAUCUCAUUCAAAUAUUACUGAUUGCCAGCGUCUUAGCUCUAUACAGUUUUGCAACCUACUAACAUAUCAAUUACAAUUUUUUUUCCUAUCCUUGGCUUGGCAAGUAACUUCGUAUGUGAGAAGGCUGAUCUGCAACCGGCACUCUAUUCUCUGAAAGAUAUGGCGAUGAAAAAGAAUGUGUAUGGCCAUGGAGGAGGCUCUUCUUCACAUGUUAACUCCAAGGUGAUCCAUUGAUCGUACCCAUCUGAUCAGCGGGGAAGUUGACCAUGCUUAUUGGAUUGAACCUUGUGCUACAGAGAGAUCGCAGUAGGCAAAGGGAAAUAUUCAGUUUUUUCCUGUUGAUCAGCACCGUACUCAGGCACUCAAAGCCCAUGCCACAUUUAAGGCGUUGUGCCAUUUUGUGGUUGUUAUAUUAUUAGCUCUCUUAUAUUUUCAGCUGUGUUUCGUUUUCCUAUCAGGCUCCUGCCAAUGAGAACCCCAUUAACAGAACAUUACUUAAAACUAGACAACACAGAACUUUGAGUCCUGUUGGACAUUUUCACCUUGAAUCUCUUCAAGUACAUCAAAAUAAAUUUAGUAUCGCGCAUUACCAGUUCAGUUUAAUGAAAGCUGGUUAUAAAUCGUCCUGA